UGGGGAAUAUUGCGCAAUGGGGGAAACCCUGACGCAGCAACGCCGCGUGAAGGAUGAAGGUUUUCGGAUUGUAAACUUCUUUGAUGAGGGACGAAACAAAUGACGGUACCUCAAAAACAAGCCACGGCUAACUACGUGCCAGCAGCCGCGGUAAUACGUAGGUGGCAAGCGUUGUCCGGAAUUACUGGGUGUAAAGGGCGUGUAGGCGGGAAUAUAAGUCAGAUGUGAAAUUCUGGGGCUCAACCCCAGCGCUGCAUCUGAAACUAUGUUUCUUGAGUGUCGGAGAGGAAAGCGGAAUUCCCAGUGUAGCGGUGAAAUGCGUAGAUAUUGGGAGGAACACCAGUGGCGAAGGCGGCUUUCUGGACGACAACUGACGCUGAGGCGCGAAAGCGUGGGGAGC
rnacentral:rRNA from 1 species